CAGGGCAGAACACGGUUGUGAAGGUUUGCAACUGCCCUUGGAGCUGGAGUGGAGGGAAUCACCACUGUGCUGCCCGGAGCUCGGCCGUGCCGGUGGAGCAUCGGAGGAAAGGGAUGUGCAAGUCACCCAGUGGAAGGGGAAGCUCAGCUCCCUCCUCGUUCAGCUGGAGAUGAUGGGAGCAGGCAAACACUUCCCUGCUCUGAAGUGCCAGCAGAAAGGAGCUCGGGACUGUGGCCAACUCCCUCUACAAGGGCUUUUGGAUCUGUCUCAGCCUGAGGAGAGACAACAAAACAGCCCUGGAGUUUCUGGUACUGACAGGAGUUGGGAAGUGACAAGAUUUACAUAAACAAGGAAGAAUUAUCUGAAUCUUCUCAGGACUCACGACAGG